AAAGCAAACAAGAAAAACAUGCUAGUGAGAGUGGGCAUUCUCAAUCAAAUAGCUGUUGGAUGAUAUACUUAAAAAUGGUUAAAGCACCCAAAGUGAAUGUUCAAAUAAUUAAUGAACAUCUCCAUCUUUCAAUUAUUUUUGGCACAUAAAGCAGAAGUACUGUCCAAAGUCUUCAAAUACAAUAUUUAUAUUUCGAAGGACAUGAAAUAAAAUAUGGUUCAGAGAAAACAAUCAACAACACAUUACAUGCCAAAUAACAUCUACUGAAAGGGAGUUAAGCUUAUCUCUUCCUAGUGUCCCUUUAAAUGCGUAACAACAGCAAAAGCAAAUCUAUCAGGAAGAUUCAUACGAAGCCACUUGAUCAUUGAAUGUCCGGAAAUCUUUGAAAAGUUUAUCCAAGGCACAGUAUGUCGUUUCUUCUGUUAGUAGAUUUAGAAUAGCAAGAAGUUCAAUGUUGAAAUGAUCGACAAGAAAGCUGCUUGUACCGUGAACUCUCUUAAUUCAUCCUGAAGCUAAAUUUGCUGCUUAUCUGACAUAGCAAGAGAAAAUAAAAUGAGAAAAAAUGAAUGAAAAAUUCCAAUGUGCAUCCCUCCAGCUCCCACUUGACCUCUUAUCCCUGAAAAAUUCUCGUGAGAAUCAUGAAUUGGUUCAUAAUAGUUUAUGUGAACAGUGUAUUGUGGCUACCAUCUAAGGAAGAUGCCAUUGAUUACCUUUAGGAACUGCUUUAGCAAGCAUGGACAAACUGAACUAAAACUUG
rnacentral:lncRNA from 1 species